rnacentral:rRNA from 1 species
AGAUUGAACGCUGGCGGAAUGCUUUACACAUGCAAGUCGAGCGGCAGCGCGGGGCAACCUGGCGGCGAGCGGCGAACGGGUGAGUAAUGCAUCGGAACAUGUCCAUGUCGUGGGGGAUAGCCCGGCGAAAGCCGGAUUAAUACCGCAUACGCCCGAGAGGGGAAAGUGGGGGACCGCAAGGCCUCACGCGAUUGGGUUGGCCGAUGUCCGAUUAGCUAGUUGGCGGGGUAAAGCCCACAAGGCGAUGAUCGGUAGCUGGUCUGAGAGGAUGAUCAGCCACACUGGGACUGAGACACGGCCCAGACUCCUACGGAGGC